rnacentral:lncRNA from 1 species
UGUGGUGGCCGGAGACGGAAGAUCCGGUGGAGAGAGAAAAUGGUGGCAGCCGGCGUUUUUCAGCUUUUCCGGCGAGAUCCGGCGGAGGAUGGACGAUCGGAGGAUGUAUCCCGACUCUCCUCAGCUCAAGCUUCGCGAUGGCACUGGUUUCGUGGCGAUCGGGCUUCGUUUGCGAAUCGACGGUCGAGAUCGUCCGCAAAUCUCUC